rnacentral:lncRNA from 1 species
GCCAGAGGCCCUUGAGUGAGGCCAUAUCCCCGCUCCCUGUCCCCAGGGGUUGGCUGGUGGGGAGCCUAGAUGGGCCGUCCGCAGAGGUGAAGUGCGUUAGCAGGAAAAUGGGGGGGUCAGGAUGAAGUGCAGAGGGUGGCUCAUAGAAGGACCGGUGUCCGCUCCCCAGGGGAGGCAGAGCUAGGAAGGGCCGGCCUUUGGGGAGGCUGAUGGAGGGACCUGGGAACACCACUCUGGACUGUAUUUGUGACUCUUCUGAAAAUCUAAAUUUAUUCCCCAAUAAAAAGCUUAUUUAAAAACUUUCUAAGGGACAGAGGUGGAGGGCUACAGUUGACCAGGGAAGGGGGGUUCUGAGGCCAGCUGGGGAAGUCACAUAAAGGCCUCCAAGGUAACAGCUCCCCAUUCACUAGGCACCUACUGUCUACCAGGAAUUGCACACCUUGUCACCGAAGCCCUCACAAAAUUGGUCCAGCUUAUUAUGCCCGUGUCACAGAUGAGGAAACAGAGGCUCAGAGAAGCUUACAGUGCCUGCCCAGGGGCACACCAGACGUCGGUGGCAUCUGAACAGCUCCCUGCCGACCCCUGCCCCUGCUACCUCCUAACUCUCUCUCUCUAACUCUCCAGUCUCUCCUCCAGAUCACUGGAGCUUGGUGCUGGGUGGUCCGUUCACACUCACUGAAAACCCACCCCCACCAGGCCCCAGAGAGCAUCUGACUGUGUCUCCUUGGAGCCUGUGACACACCCUCUGCACACGUGGUGUGAGUUUUCUCUGGUUUAUAACUGACGUUCAGAGAGGUGAGGUAGCUCACCUAAGGUCACACAGGCAGGAAGUGGUGGGAACUUGACGCUGACCCAGGCCAUCUGGACCCUGUGACCCACCUGGAGGCAGACAAUUCAGAAUGCUCAGGAAGCAGCUCUGGGGAGUCUGGUGACCCCAGGAGCCCCUAGCAGAGGUGGCUUUGGGCAAAUCUACAUAGGAAAAUGAGUCUUCCCUCAACAGGUAAAUCAGGGAAUGACAUUUGACUUACAAAAGAAUUCACCCAAUGAGCUCUCCUUGAAGAUGGAAAUCGGAUUUUCUUUAGUCCUCUGGCUCUUUCUGAGCUGAGAGUCUGCUCUUGCUCACUGCCUUCAGGGCCGGCUAUUCUAAAGCUCUGAGCAAGGAGAGCCCCAGAGCCAAACUCAGGCCACUGCCCUUUUUCCCAAUGCUAGUGAGAAUCACUAACAGGAUACCCUCUCUCCACAGAAUCCCAGGUGUUCUGCACAGCGUUGUCAACUACCAGCACUUGUUACACAGAUUUCUAGAACUCUCCCAUCUUGCACAACUGAAUCUUGACCCCAUUGAAGAAUGACUCCCCAUUUCCCCUCCCCCCAAGCCUUGGCAACCACCCUCUACCGUCCGUUUUCACGAGUUUGGCUAUUUGAGAAACCUCUGAGAAGCAGCAUCCUGCGUAUUUGCCCUUCUGUGCCUGGCUUAUCCCACUUAGCCUUGUUUCCUCCAAGUUCAAGCCUGCUGACGCCCGUGACAGGAUUCCUCCUUCAAGGCCGCCUGGUACUCCACCGUGGGAAGACCACCCUUAUUCGUUUGUCUGCUAAUGGACAUUUGGGGAGAUUCCGUAUCUUGGCUCUUGUAAAUAAUGCUGCAAUGAAAAGUGUGGAAGCUUGGAUAUCUUUUCUGAUUUCAGGUUUAGGGGGUUUAUUCCCAGAUCUGAGGUUGCUGGACCAGGUAGGGGAAAAGUCCAUAUUUUCCAUCACGGCUACAUCCUCACAUUUCCACCAACAGUGCACAAAAUCCCCCUUUUCUCUGCAACCACACUAACACCUUCCUUUUAAUAGUAGUUGACAGAUAAACAUGCUCUCUCGUUGUGGUUUUAAUCUGCAUUUGCUCAAUGGUUAGUUAUGUGGAAUACCUUUUCGCAUACCUGUUAGUUAUUUGUAUGUUUUCCUUGGACAAACGUCAAUUCAGGUCCUUCACCUUUUUUUUUGGGGGGGGGGGGCGGAGGGUGAUUUAUUUUACUAUCGAGUUGCAGGCAUUCCUUGUAGAUUUUGGACACUGACCCUUUAUUAGACGUACGACUUGCAAACAUCUUCUCCCAUUCUGGAGGUGGUACUUUUCAUUCUGUGGAUGAUUUUCUUCGUGGGGCUGUUUUUGUAAAUAAAG